rnacentral:rRNA from 1 species
AAUGGGGGAAACCCUGAUGCAGCGACGCCGCGUGAGUGAUGAAGGCCUUCGGGUUGUAAAGCUCUGUUCUGCGGGAAGAAAUAAAUGACGGUACCGCAGAAGAAAGGACCGGCUAACUUCGUGCCAGCAGCCGCGGUAAUACGAAGGGUCCUAGCGUUGCUCGGAAUCAUUGGGCGUAAAGCGGGUGUAGGCGGCCAACUAAGUCAGAAGUGAAAGCCCCGGGCUCAACCCGGGAAGUGCUUUUGAAACUGGUUGGCUUGAGUGUGGGAGAGGAUAGUAGAAUUCCUGGUGUAGUGGUGAAAUACGUAGAUAUCAGGAGGAAUACCGGUGGCGAAGGCGGCUAUCUGGCCCAACACUGACGCUCAGACCCGAAAGCGUGGGGAGCAAA